ACGUUUUCUUUCCGGACACAUCCAGUGGAUACUGUGCAGACCUUCUCCAGCUAAUCUCAGGAAGGCUGAAGUUUUUAGACGGCUACCCUUCAUAUUUAGGGAGAGAAUAUAACCAUGUGGAAAGUCUAGUCUUCAUGUGGAACAUCUGUUACGAAGAAAUUCUACUUGGAAAGCUUGUCUGCUCUAUUAACCCAUCCCUGUUGCUCACUUGGAAGAAGAGGGCCUUCACUUUCCACUGUAAGAAGAAGGUCUUCUGUUGCUCUGAACGCUUCUGUUUAGAGACCUUUCUUCACUGUCCCCAAGGAGAUCCCAACCUUUUCCAAGCAGAUUUCUGCCAUCUUCACUCAGGCACCUAAUCCAAGCCGAACUGUUUUCCAUCCCAUCGCACAACAGUAUACAGUCUUCAUUGCUCUCUUACAGGAAGUGGUUUUGCUUCCUCCAUCCACGUACACAGCUCUUGAGGACCGAGUCUCUGACCUGCGACUUGUAAAGAUUCUGGGAAGUUUCUAGAGGGGCAAUUCAUGAAAGAAAGACUCAGUAACUUGAAUCUGCAAAUUUCAAAAUGUGGAAAAAGAAUUUUAUCAGUACCAUAGGAUGAGACUGCUUUUACCUAAGAAGAAAGCUCUCAUGGUAUUUGUCAAAUUCCAGAACAGCGAGGGCACAGCCAUUUAUAACAGUUCCUUAUGAAUCCUUUACAUGGUAGUGUGCACACUUGGACCAGCAAAUAUUUAAGAUGAAAUGCUACCCAGUGGAUUACAUCUGAGAAAGAAAGCAAUGAGUACUUGAGGACUCCUGCUACUAGUGUGCCAUGGACCCUCUAUUGCAAUGACAAAAGUGAAAACAUAAAAUGUCAACCUCUGGACCAAUGUGUGGUUAGUGCCACCGCAGCACUGUUGCCCCAGGAUGCCCUGAAUAAACCAUUGUUGUGGUUUCCCUGACAGACAGCUUGUCGGCAAAUGAUCAGUAUUGGCCAUGAUUUCGGGCUAAUUUCAUGGAUGUUUUCCAGUUUCCGUGAUCUUCCGUUCCCGUUUUCCAAACAAAAGUGCUUCUGAAAAUUUCUGUUUAACAUCUUUCACUUUGAAUAAAGAGAACAAGAAACAUUCCCCUCGCA
rnacentral:lncRNA from 1 species